GACGGAUGUCUCAUCGGGUUCAGAAGGGGAUGGGAAUGCAGAUUUGGAUGCCUCGUAUCGUAUGAUAAAGAAGAGAGUUUUUACAAAGCCCUAGAGCUAGAGCUUGUUGAGAAAGUAGCUUUGAAGAUGGGCUUCCUAUGGGAAAUAGGGAAGUUUAAAGCGAUAACAAAGGCCUUAGGGAAUAGGAUCUCUUUCUGCGUCUACUGAUGCUUUUGAAAAAAGCCUUUGGUUUGGCUUGUUUAAUUGAUUCGUACGUAAUCCGAGAGCUUCAUACGUGGGAUUUAUUUGGCAAAGGAAAGUCAAGAGAAAAGGUGGUAGCUAUUCUAGCAAGUCUUCUGUGGAGGCCUUUUUUUUUAACCGAUUAAAUCGUAAGUUGCAUCCUCAACUUCUGGACGGGUUCGAGAGUUUGGUUCGACUGAGACGGAUGUCUCAUCGGGUUCAGAAGGGGAUGGGAAUGCAGAUUUGGAUGCCUCGUAUCGUAUGAUAAAGAAGAGAGUUUUUACAAAGCCCUAGAGCUAGAGCUUGUUGAGAAAGUAGCUUUGAAGAUGGGCUUCCUAUGGGAAAUAGGGAAGUUUAAAGCGAUAACAAAGGCCUUAGGGAAUAGGAUCUCUUUCUGCGUCUACUGAUG
rnacentral:lncRNA from 1 species